UACUGUGCUUGCUACUACUGUUACAUGCU
rnacentral:piRNA from 1 species